UACGUAGGUGGCGAGCGUUAUCCGGAUUUAUUGGGUUUAAAGGGUGCGUAGGCGGCUGAUUAAGUCAGCGGUGAAAGGUAGCAGCUUAACUGUUUUACAUGCCGUUGAUACUGGUUAGCUUGAGUUGACAGAAGGCAGAUAGAAUUUCUGGUGUAGCGGUGAAAUGCUUAGAUACCAGGAGGAAUACCGAUUGCGAAGGCAGUCUGCUGCAGUCACACUGACGCUGAGGCACGAAAGUGCGGGGAUCAAA
rnacentral:rRNA from 1 species